rnacentral:misc_RNA from 1 species
CCCAACCAGACCGAGCUCUCCCAGCUCAAUUCAUCAUCUGGUCGACUUUUCUCUGUUCUCAUUCCCUCUCCUUCACUUCUACCCACCACCUCUUCUUCAUCUUCUUCUAUCUAUCUCUCUCUUCCUUCAAUCCAGUCUCAGAAUUUUGACACAGAAUGUCAGGAGGUGGUACGCAAAAAAGCUUAAGGAAAGCACUUGGGGCCCUNNNNNNNNNNNNCACGACUGUUUCAUUGGCCAAAGUCAAUAGCGAUUACAAGGAAUUGGACAUCGCUAUAGUUAGGGCCACAAAUCAUGUUGAGCGGCCUGCAAAGGAAAAACACAUUAGAGCCAUUUUUGCUGCCAUUUCAGCUACUAGGCCUCGGGCUGAUGUUGCCUAUUGCAUCCAUGCUCUUGCCAGACGGUUAGCAAAAACGCACAACUGGGCGGUUGCAUUGAAAACUUUAAUUGUUAUUCACCGUGCUUUGAGGGAAGUGGACCCCACAUUUCAUGAGGAACUUAUUAAUUAUGGCAGAAGCAGGAGUCAUAUGCUUAACAUGGCUCAUUUCAAAGAUGAUUCCAGUCCCAAUGCAUGGGAUUAUUCUGCAUGGGUUCGUACUUAUGCCUUAUUUUUGGAGGAAAGGUUGGAAUGCUUCCGUGUUCUGAAGUAUGAU